ACGCACGCUGGCGGCGUGCUUCACACAUGCCAGUCGCACGGAAAGGCCCUGCUUUUGUGGGGUGCUCGAGUGGCGAACGGGUGAGUAACACGUGAGUAACCUGCCCUUGACUUUGGGAUAACUUCAGGAAACUGGGGCUAAUACCGGAUAGGAGCUCCUGCUGCAUGGUGGGGGUUGGAAAGUUUCGGCGGUUGGGGAUGGACUCGCGGCUUAUCAGCUUGUUGGUGGGGUAGUGGCUUACCAAGGCUUUGACGGGUAGCCGGCCUGAGAGGGUGACCGGCCACAUUGGGACUGAGAUACGGACCAGACUCCUACGGGAGGCAGCAGUGGGGAAUAUUGCACAAUGGGCGGAAGCCUGAUGCAGCAACGCCGCGUGCGGGAUGACGGCCUUCGGGUUGUAAACCGCUUUCGCCUGUGACGAAGCGUGAGUGACGGUAAUGGGUAAAGAAGCACCGGCUAACUACGUG
rnacentral:rRNA from 1 species